rfam:Bacillus sp. B-jedd genome assembly, contig: CONTIG000001
CAGUGAGGUAGAGGCGCGAUAUUUAACAGUCCUUGGUGGAGCCCGAGAAGCUUUGAACCCAAGGAGAAGGAAAUAUCGCCGAAGUGGGCAGUAUACUCGGUAUUGCCUGCUGGGCCUGCAGUUAAGAGCUGCAGGACUGUCUCAAUAAACGACCCAGUUUGUUGAGUUGUGCUAUCUCAUCG